UUCCGGUUGAUCCCGCCGGAGAUCACUGCUAUUGGAAUCCGGUUAAGGCAUGCGAGUCGAGAGGGUACGGCCCUCGGCAAACGGCUCAGUAACACGUGGAUAAUCUGCCCUUAGGUGGGGGAUAAUCUCGAGAAAUUGAGCAUAAUACCCCAUAGUUCUAGAUUGCUGGAAUGCUUCUAAAAUUAAAGCCCCGGCGCCUAAGGAUGAAUCUGCGGCCUAUCAGGUUGUAGUGAGUGUAACGGACUCACUAGCCGACGACGGGUACGGGUCCUGGAAGGGAGUGCCCGGAGAUGGACUCUGAGACACGAGUCCAGGCCCUACGGGGCGCAGCAGCUACGAAAACUUCACAAUGCGGGAAACCGUGAUGAGGGGAUUCCAAGUGCUAAUACUUUGUAUUAGCUGUUUACUUGUCUAAAAAACAGGUAGAGUAAGGGCUGGGUAAGACUGGUGCCAGCCGCCGCGGUAAUACCAGCAGCUCAAGUGGUGAUCGCUAUUAUUGGGCCUAAAGCGUCCGUAGCCGGUUUGGUAAACCCUUGGGUAAAUCGGGCAGCUUAACUGUCCGACUUCUGAGGAGACUGCCAGACUUGGGACCGGGAGAGGUCAGAGGUACUUCUAGGGUAGAGGUGAAAUUCUGUAAUCCUAGGAGGACCACCAGUGGCGAAGGCGUCUGACUAGAACGGGUCCGACGGUAAGGGACGAAACCCUGGGGCGCGAACCGGAUUAGAUACCCGGGUAGUCUAGGGCGUAAACGCUGCGGGCUUGGUGUUGGGGGUCCCACGAGGGCGUCCAGUGCCGGAGAGAAGUUGUUAAGCCCGCCGCCUGGGGAGUACGAUCGCAAGAUUGAAACUUAAAGGAAUUGGCGGGGGAGCACAGCAACGGGUGGAGCGUGCGGUUUAAUUGGAUUCAACGCCGGA
rnacentral:rRNA from 1 species